rnacentral:rRNA from 1 species
GAGGAAUAUUGGACAAUGGGCGCAAGCCUGAUCCAGCCAUGCCGCGUGCAGGAAGAAGCAUCUAUGGUGUGUAAACUGCUUUUGUACGGGAGGAAACACUUCUUCGUGAAGGAGCUUGACGGUACCGUAAGAAUAAGGAUCGGCUAACUCCGUGCCAGCAGCCGCGGUAAUACGGAGGAUCCAAGCGUUAUCCGGUAUCAUUGGGUUUAAAGGGUCCGUAGGCGGUUUAGUAAGUCAGUGGUGAAAGCCCAUCGCUCAACGAUGGAACGGCCAUUGAUACUGCUAGACUUAAAGUAUUAGGAAGUAACUAGAAUAUGUAGUGUAGCAGUGAAAUGCUAGAUAUUACGUGUAAAACCAAUUGCGAAGGCAGGUUACUACUAAUGGAUUGACGCUGAUGGACGAAAGCGUGGGGAGCGAACA